AUAUCAUGCUGAGGGCAUCUUGUGCAUAACCUUUUGAACCUCUCCCAGUAUUCAUAUAAGUCUUCAGAAUCCUUUUGCCUUAUGCCACUUAUUUCUUGACGGAUACC